rnacentral:tRNA from 1 species
UCGAGAGUAGCUCAGUCGGUAGAGCGAGCGGCUGUUAACCGCUGGGUCGUGGGUUCAAGUCCCACCUCUCGAGCCA